GUGAAGUUAGCAUAUCUCAUCAAAAAGUAUCAAACGAUUAUUGAAUGCUGUCACACUGCCACGCUACUGCGAUACCAGGGUUAAACAGAACUCUGGAAGAAGAAACUGAAGUAAACUGUAAAGCCAGUCAUUGUCUGAACUCAUAACAAACAAUAUAAGUUAACAAUAGGAGUUGUUUAAAUUAAGCAACCGGGAGAAGUGCUGCUAACGUGAUGAUAUAGCUAGCAAACGUUAGCUAAUGUGCUAUUGUGAAGAUAAGUUAGCUAGCAGGAUGGAGAAAGGAUAUGAGAACUUCUGUCUACAAACAAACAAAAGGACCAAGACAGUAACAAGUGCAGUCGGAAAUUAUGGACUUCAUCUCUAUGAAAGAAAGGAGAAAGGACUUGGACGUCAAAUAAGUUUCCCAUCUGAAUGAAUAAAUCAUCAGAUGCCAGGUGAGACAGGUCACAGGUCUCAGGGUUAAGUGUGGUAAUCAUAUUACCUCGUGGCUGAUUCACUUCACACUUCCAGGAGUCAAGAGUCCAUCAAUAUUAAAGACGGGCAGUUUGCUGUGUCCUGUGCACAGCCUUUUACAGUGCAGCCAUGCUCUUACACUUCCACAGUCACCCUGGCAUACAGUGUCUGCUACUACAGACAAAAUCUAACUUAAAACAUACUUUAAAUGUAAUUAACUAAAGCCAAAUUGCUUAAGCCAUGAUUUUAAAAAUGAAAACACAUUUAUUGUACUUUGCCACUUUCUUUUCUCUUUACUGUAGAUUGUUUUUUGGAUAUUUUUUUUCCACAAACUCCAACACUAUAAUUGCUUUUCCACUUCUGAAAGUUGUUUUUCAAAUAAAAAACGUUAAUACUGUGAGGUAUGCAAAGCAGGGAAUGGGAACCAAUGUUAAGCCAAACUUAUGAAGUCCAGCUUUGUUUCCGUUUCAUUUCAUGAUCUAUGGCUACAGACAGCAUGUGAUUGGUGUGCUGGCUUGAAGGAGUUGUGAUUGACAGGAGGUGUGGUUCAUUGUGAAUACAAAGAAUAUUGUAUUUCUUAUAUCAAUCUUUUUUUACAUUCACACAAAGUCCCUGUUUUACCAUCAUGAUGUUAAAAUUACAAAAUGUCUUGACGGAGAAAAUAAAGUUUUGAAAUUGU